CGGACGGUGAGUAACGCGUGGGUAACCUGCCUUAUACCGGGGGGAUAACACUUAGAAAUAGGUGCUAAUACCGCAUAAGCGCACGGUGUCGCAUGACACAGUGUGAAAAACUCCGGUGGUAUAAGAUGGACCCGCGUCUGAUUAGCCAGUUGGCAGGGUAACGGCCUACCAAAGCGACGAUCAGUAGCCGGCCUGAGACGGGUGAACGGCCACAUUGGGACUGAGACACGGCCCAAACUCCUACGGGAGGCAGCAGUGGGGAAUAUCGCACAAUGGGGGAAACCCUGAUGCAGCGACGCCGCCGUGAGUGAAGAAGUAUUUCGGUAUGUAAAGCUCUAUCAGCCAGGGAAGAAGAAAUGACGGUACCUGACUAAGAAGCCCCGGCUAACUACGUG
rnacentral:rRNA from 1 species